UACGGAGGAUGUAAGCGUUAUCCGGAAUGAUUGGGCGUAAAGCGUCCGCAGGUGGCGAUGAAAGUCUGCUGUUAAAGAGCAAGGCUCAACCUUGUAAAGGCAGUGGAAACUACAUGGCUAGAGUGCGUUCGGGGCAGAGGGAAUUCCUGGUGUAGCGGUGAAAUGCGUAGAGAUCAGGAAGAACACCGGUGGCGAAAGCGCUCUGCUAGGCCGCAACUGACACUGAGGGACGAAAGCUAGGGGAGCGAAUGGG
rnacentral:rRNA from 1 species